CGGGGUGCAGCAGGCGCGAAAACUUUACAAUGCGGGAAACCGUGAUAAGGGGACACCGAGUGCCAGCAUCAUAUGCUGGCUGUCCAGGUGUGUAAAAUACACCUGUCAGCAAGGGCCGGGCAAGACCGGUGCCAGCCGCCGCGGUAACACCGGCGGCCCGAGUGGUGAUCGUGAUUAUUGGGUCUAAAGGGUCCGUAGCCGGUUUGGUCAGUCCUCCGGGAAAUCUGACGGCUCAACCGUUAGGCUUUCGGGGGAUACUGCCAGGCUUGGAACCGGGAGAGGUAAGAGGUACUACAGGGGUAGGAGUGAAAUCUUGUAAUCCCUGUGGACCACCUGUGGCGAAGGCGUCUUACCAGAACGGGUUCGACGGUGAGGGACGAAAGCUGGGGGCACGAACCGGAUUAGAUACCCGGGUAGUCCCAGCCGUAAACGAUGCUCGCUAGGUGUCAGGCAUGGCGCGACCGUGUCUGGUGCCGCAGGGAAGCCGUGAAGCGAGCCACCUGGGAAGUACGGCCGCAAGGCUGAAACUUAAAGGAAUUGGCGGGGGAGCAC
rnacentral:rRNA from 1 species